GACGAACGCUGGCGGCGUGCUUAACACAUGCAAGUCGAACGGAAAGGCCCUGCUUUUGGGGGGUGCUCGAGUGGCGAACGGGUGAGUAACACGUGAGUAACCUGCCCUUGACUUUGGGAUAACUUCAUGAAACUGGGGCUAAUACCGGAUAGGAGCUCCUGCUUCAUGGUGGGGGUUGGAAAGUUUCGGCGGUUGGGGAUGGACUCGCGGCUUAUCAGGUUGUUGGUGGGGUAGUGGCUUACCAAGGCUUGGACGGGUAGCCGGCCUGAGAGGGUGACCGGCCACAUUGGGACUGAGCUACGGCACAGACUCCUACGGGAGGCAGCAGUGGGGAAUAUUGCACAAUGGGCGGAAGCAUGAUGCAGCAACGCCGCGUGGGGGAUGACGGCCUUCGGGUUGUAAACCGCUUUCGCCUGUCACGAAGUGUGAGUGACGGUAAUGGGUAAAGAAGCACCGGCUAACUCCGUG
rnacentral:rRNA from 1 species